rnacentral:rRNA from 1 species
AACGAACGCUGGCGGCAUGCCUAACACAUGCGAGUCGAACGGGAUCUUCGGGUCUAGUGGCGCACGGGUGCGUAACGCGUGGGAAUCUGCCCCUUGGUUCGGAAUAACAGUUGGAAACGACUGCUAAUACCGGAUGAUGACGAAAGUCCAAAGAUUUAUCGCCAGAGGAUGAGCCCGCGUAGGAUUAGCUAGUUGGUGUGGUAAAGGCGCACCAAGGCGACGAUCCUUUGCUGGUCUGAGAGGAUGAUCAGCCACACUGGGACUGAGACACGGCCCAGACUCCUACGGGAGGCAGCAGUGGGGAAUAUUGGACAAUGGGCGAAAGCCUGAUCCAGCAAUGCCGCGUGAGUGAUGAAGGCCUUAGGGCUGUAAAGCUCUUUUACCCGGGAUGAUAAUGACAGUACCGGGAGAAUAAGCUCCGGCUAACUCCGUGCCAGCCGCCGCAGUAA